ACGCGGCGCAGACGGACGGCAGGAGCGGAGGCGCGUGGACGCGGGCGGCUCACCACCAGACCGACAGACCAGGGCCGACAGACGACCAGGCUGCAGGGCCCGAAAGCAGCACAAGCUGCGGCGACCCGGGGCGGAGAGAGGCGGCUGGAGGAGCCACCGCUCCAUUUAUACCCGCCCCGGGCGCUGCUGGUCGAAGGGCGCCUCGCGACCUGGGCGCAGUCUUGCCCGCCCACUCGGCCCGGGGGCCCGAGGCGGGGCGGCCACGCGAGAGCGACCUGGCGCGGCCGCGCAGCGCCACAGCGACCCCUGGCGUGCGGAGGACCGCUCCGCGGCGCAGGGGGGCGCUGUGCAGACUCAAGAGCCUCCGGCCACUCCAAUCAUCUUGCAAACAGCUCGCCUCCGAGGAAUAAAACCCAUACAUAAUUUAACACACCCACACGCAUAAUGUGUACAAACAAUAUAUUGCUUAAUUAUAAAAAAAAAGUGGCAUGAAAUAAAUUAUGAUAUAAUAG